UACGUAGGGACCAAGCGUUGUCCGGAAUCAUUGGGCGUAAAGAGCGUGUAGGCGGCCCGGUAAGUCCGCUGUAAAAGUCAAAGGCUCAACCUUUGAAUGUCAGUGGAUACUGCCGGGCUAGAGUCCGGAAGAGGCGAGUGGAACUCCUGGUGUAGCGGUGGAAUGCGCAGAUAUCAGGAAGAACACCAACGGCGAAGGCAGCUCGCUGGGACGGUACUGACGCUGAGACGCGAAAGCGUGGGGAGCGAACAGG
rnacentral:rRNA from 1 species